rnacentral:other from 1 species
UUUUGCCUGCCUUGUUCGUGAGUAUUACAGCCUCGAGCCGAUAAUUUCAUAAUAGGGAGCUACAAAGCGUUAUUGGGAGUGCAUCUUACUCGUUUAAGAAGCCCGAAAAUUUCACUUAAGCACCCACUUGGUUCUUGAGGGUUCGAGAGCCUUGUAUAUGCGAACGGCAAGUGCGGGUAAAUA